rnacentral:rRNA from 1 species
CCCUUAGAUGUUCUGGGCCGCACGCGUGCUACACUGAGUGGAUCAGCGGGUCAGGUUGCGCGAAGGUGUUUCCUAAUCUUGAAAUCCGCUCGUGAUGGGGAUUGACGGUUGCAAUUUUCCGUCAUGAACGAGGAAUACCUUGUAAGCGCGGGUCAUCAUCCCGCGCUGAAUACGUCCCUGCCCUUUGUACACACCGCCCGUCGCUCCUACCGAUUGAGUGGUCCGGUGAGGCUUUGGGAUCUGAGCGGAAAGAGCGUUUCGCUGUUUCUGCUCGGAAAACUCAGUCGAACCUUAUCAUUUAGAGGAAGGAGAAGUCGUAACA